rnacentral:rRNA from 1 species
GAUUAUGGCUCAGAAUCAACGCUGGCGGCGUGCCUAACACAUGCAAGUCGAACGCGAAAGCCCGCAGGGGUAAGUAGAGUGGCGCACGGGUGAGUAACACGUGGACAACCUGCCUUCGAGUGGGGAAUAACCUUCCGAAAGGAGGGCUAAUACCGCAUAACACCUCGGGACACAAGUUCUGGGGUUGAAAAGAGCAAUUUGCUCGAAGAGGGGUCCGCGCCUGAUUAGCUAGUUGGUGAGGUAACGGCUCACCAAGGCUUCGAUCAGUAGCCGUCCUGAGAGGGAGCACGGCCACACUGGAACUGAGACACGGUCCAGACUCCUACGGGAGGCAGCAGUGGGGAAUUUUUGGCAAUGGGCGAAAGCCCUGACCAAGCAACGCCGCGUGGGUGAUGAAGUAUCUUGGUACGUAAAACCCUUUCGGCAGGGACGAACCUAAUGACGGUACCUGCGGAAGAAGCCCCGGCUAACUCCGUGCCAGCAGCGGC